rnacentral:lncRNA from 1 species
AUGGACCACGUGGUGUGGGGUCUGGGGAGGAAGGGGAGCAAGCCUUGGACCAUGGGAGGCAGGGGGGGCUGUUUGGGAGCCCAGAGGGGCAAGAUGCAUGAUGUGUGUUUGUGUGUGCAUGUGUGCGUGUGCGUGUGUAUGUAUGUGUGUGUGUGUGUGUGUGUGUGGUGCGGGAUCCUCCCUAUCUUGGCACCGACCCCUAAAGCCACAGCAGAGCAGCACAGCUGGCUGUGUGCAGCAGCAUAUGCAGGUGGCGCAUUCUCAUGGAAGGCAUCAUGGUGCAGGAUGGCCUUCCACCAGGUUGCUGUAGGCAGGGGGCUUCCGCAGGGAGAGUCCUGGGGAAUAGCACGAUCAGACACAUGCGCCUUUGGGACCCUCUGACACAGUGGGAGGAGGUGGGGUAGGAGGGUAGUGUCGGCCAAAGUCUUGGGUGAGCAGAAGAGACUGGGAGUUGAGAUUCCAGUGUGGACAUAUCCGCAGGCUAGUGAAGCCUGAGGCAAUCUGGGUCUAAUGAGAAUGCCCAGCCACCAAGUUCAAGCUGUGAUUAGACACCAUAAGGACGCAGGGCUGUUCCUCUCCACACCCUCCUCCAAGGGCGGGCGGUCCUGUCUCUGUCCUGGUUCCCUGCUCUAUGGUGCGGAGUCUCAAAGAUAGAACCCUUGUGUUAGAGGCUUCCUUAACCUCUUAGGGAACCCAGGAAAGAAUGUGUUUGAAUGCACUGAGAGUGUUGGGGGCUGCUCUAGAUCCCUGGAAAGGCCAGCGUUGGAUACGAUGAUGAGUGGAGGCUGCUGGAGGGUAUGGCGGGCAUCGGGCGGUGCAUCCGCCACCCAGGGGCCGUUGGGGAGCAGGCCCUUCUUCCUGCCUGCAACCCUGGCCUGCCUGCCCCAGCCUCCGUGCACGGUCCCUCCCCUGAAGUUGUGUGCAGAUUUGGGAUAGUGCUGAUAUUUCUGCUCUCCUGCAGGUGGCGCCACAAUUUAGGUUUUUCAGCUGCUGACUGCCUGUGGUGUUUAUCCAGUGCACUGCAGGAGACCCAGCCAGGGGAGGGGGCAGGGAGCUCUCUGCAGCACCACCAGGCUCUGGUGAUUUGUUUAACAAGCAAAUCUGGCUUUUAUCAACUUAAAUAGCCACUCUGCUCCUAGGCUAAUAAAACGGUAGUCGCUAAGUGAAGGGAAACUUAA